AUUGAACGCUGGCGGCAGGCUUAACACAUGCAAGUCGAGCGAGCGGCGGACGGGUGAGUAAUGUCUGGGAAACUGCCUGAUGGAGGGGGAUAACUACUGGAAACGGUACCUAAACCCGAUUACCAUCGAAUGUGCCCAGAUGGGAUUAGCUAGUAGGUGGGGUAAUGGCUCACCUAGGCGACGACCCCUAGCUGGUCUGAGAGGAUGACCAGCCACACUGGAACUGAGACACGGUCCAGACUCCUACGGGAGGCAGCAGUGGGGAAUAUUGCACAAUGGGCGCAAGCCUGAUGCAGCCAUGCCGCGUGUGUGAAGAAGGCCUUCGGGUUGUAAAGCACUUUCAGCGAGGAGGCGUUACUCGCAGAAGAAGCACCGGCUAACUCCGUGCCAGCAGCCGCGGUAAUAC
rnacentral:rRNA from 1 species